AGUGAACGCUGGCGGUAGGCCUAACACAUGCAAGUCGAACGGCAGCACAGUAAGAGCUUGCUCUUACGGGUGGCGAGUGGCGGACGGGUGAGGAAUACAUCGGAAUCUACUUUUUCGUGGGGGAUAACGUAGGGAAACUUACGCUAAUACCGCAUACGACCUACGGGUGAAAGCAGGGGAUCUUCGGACCUUGCGCGAUUGAAUGAGCCGAUGUGGGAUUAGCUAGUUGGCGGGGUAAAGGCCCACCAAGGCGACGAUCCGUAGCUGGUCUGAGAGGAUGAUAAGCCACACUGGAACUGAGACACGGUCAAGACUCCUACGGGAGGCAGCAGUGGGGAAUAUUGGAAAAUGGGCGCAAGCCUGAUCCAGCCAUACCGCGUGGGUGAAGAAGGCCUGCGGGUUGUAAAGCCCUUUUGUUGGGAAAGAAAAGCAGCAGGUUAAUACCCCGCUGUUCUGACGGUACCCAAAGAAUAAGCACCGGCUAACUUCGUG
rnacentral:rRNA from 1 species